AUACGUAGGGUGCAAGCGUUAAUCGGAAUUACUGGGCGCAAAGCGUGCGCAGGCGGUUUUGUAAGACAGGGGUGAAAUCCCCCGGCGCAAACUGGGAACUUCCAUUGUGUCAGCUAGGACGGAGAGCGGGACCGGGGGAUGGAAAUCCGCGGGUCGCAGUGGAAUGCGUAGAUGUGCGGAGGAACACCGAUGGCGAAGGCAAUCCCCUGGGCCUGCACUGACGCUCAUGCACGAAAGCGUGGGGAGCAAACAGGAUUAGAUACCCUGGUAGUCCACGCCCUAAACGAUGUCAACUGGUUGUUGGGGAUUUAUUUUCUCAGUAACGAAGCUAACGCGUGAAGUUGACCGCCUGGGGAGUACGGCCGCAAGGUUAAAACUCAAAGGAAUUGACGGGG
rnacentral:rRNA from 1 species